rnacentral:rRNA from 1 species
CGUAACACGUGGGAAUUUAUCCGGAAGUGGGGGAUAGCUUGCCGAAAGGCAAAUUAAUACCGCAUAUGCCCGUAAGGGCAAAGUGGGGGACCGCAAGGCCUCACGCUAUCGGAGGAGCCCGCGCCCUAUCAGCUAGUUGGUGAGGUAAUGGCUCACCAAGGCAACGACGGGUAGCCGGCCUGAGAGGGCGACCGGCCACACUGGGACUGAGACACGGCCCAGACUCC